rnacentral:lncRNA from 1 species
AGGGGCGGGACGAGGGGCGCGCAGGCGCUGGGGCUUCAGCGACCGCCUGAGACAGAGUCUCACCAUGUUGCCCAGGCUGGUCUCAAACUCCUGAGUCGAAUGAUCCACCUGCCUCAGCCUCCCAAAGCGCUGGGAUUACAGGCGUCAGCCACUGCACCCGGCCCCAGCAGUACAAUCUGGUAACUCAAAAAAGAACUGGCACCUCAUGAAAACAGAGAAACGGCCAAUGAACUGAAAAGACGCUCAGCCUUAGCAGACCCAGGUAUGUCACGCUAAAGCAAUGAAGCGCUUCCUCCUCUCCGGCUGUGCUCACUGCUGGGAACUGGCAGCUGGGGGGGGUCUCUGCCCUGCCUGCUCCCCCUCCACGGCCACUUGCUGCCUUGUCCCUCUCACCCAGCUGGCCAAGCCCAGCUGGGCACCGGGCCUGCACCCAAGCUGCCCGGAGUGGAAAGAGAGGAGACACAGCCAUGUGGAGUGGUUUCAUUUUAAAUUAAUGGCCACCAGCUCAAGCGGACACUUGUUGACUACAUUUCCCCAGCCUGGUACCACCUCAGCAUGUCCUCGUGUCCUGGCACAGAGAGGGCAGAGCUGUGAUCACACUGCCUGCCCCCUCCAAAUGAAAGGUUGCUGAGCACAGCGGGAAGCUGCACCUUUGCAGGCAGGUCAAGGACCUGGCUUCUGGGACCCAGGGGGGCCCCAUGUAAAGGGGAGUGGGGCUGGGCUUGUCUCGAAUCUGCCUGAAGUGGGGAUCUGGAAGAGUGAAACUGAAGGAGGCUGGAAGUAUUCACCUGAAGGCAGAGAGACUCCAGACCCCGAAAAAGUGGCCCAAGAGGGACAUUCAGCUUUAGUCACCUGGGAGCCCAAGCAGCGUGUAGGCAGCAGAGACCCCCCACCCUUGCCGCUGGCCUUGGGCUGUCCCCAGAGGGUCAGGAGCUGCAGCUGGAGAGGAAGUGGGCGGACCCCAGGCUGGAGCAGGAGGCGUUUCAACUCCGAGUAAAGUUUGAUCGUUACACUGACCGGGACACAAAAAUUACUUCACUGAGACCAAAUCAAAAAUGGGCAUGAAAAUGGGGCAAGCUUUUCAGCCAGUGGUGGGUGGGGGUGGGGAAGAACACUGGGGGAAGGAAUAGUACAAGUGAUUUGUCUCUUAUUUUAAUAACUCUCAAAGCUGCAAAAGUGGGUGGGGCUUAUUCAAAUUAAUGUAAUUCUUUUGUCUGAUUCUCUUCAGACAUCAGUGACACUAAACACAUGCACGGGGGACCAUCGGGGCUGGCGCUGGAGGGAUUCUUCUUCCACCUCUGCAGCACCCACCUGUGCGCCUGCAAACUGUUCUGUCUCCCUCCCUCUUCCAGGAAAACACUUUUCUAUGAAUUCACUAUGAUAUUUGUACUAUGCUGGGGCUAUUUUUAGGAGUUGGUGUGAUGGAAUAUUCAGCAUUGUAAACAGUGUGCACACA